UACGUAGGGACCAAGCGUUGUUCGGAUUUACUGGGCGUAAAGGGCGCGUAGGCGGCGCGGUAAGUCACUUGUGAAAUCUCUGAGCUUAACUCAGAACGGCCAAGUGAUACUGCAGUGCUAGAGUGUGGAAGGGGCAAUCGGAAUUCUUGGUGUAGCGGUGAAAUGCGUAGAUAUCAAGAGGAACACCUGAGGUGAAGACGGGUUGCUGGGCCAACACGUGACGCUGAGGCGCGAAAGCCAGGGGAGC
rnacentral:rRNA from 1 species